CCUCAUUUCUGCUCUAUUUGACAACAGCUAGGGGCAGAGAGAAUUCAUAAUGAAAAGAAGCCUCUGACCUCUCAACCUCCUGUGAAAAGGAUGCAGGUUCAGAAGCUGUUCAACUCUGAACACGCCAUUUCUUAUGGAACAUGAAGGAUGACUCAGAGGAUGCAGCCAAGAAGCCAGACAGUAGAGCUAAGAGACGUGGAGAACCACUGCCAAGACCAAUUAAAGAACUGGUGACAUGUA